rnacentral:rRNA from 1 species
GGGUGCGAUCAUACCAGCACUAAUGCACCGGAUCCCAUCAGAACUCCGAAAUUAAACUUGCUUGGGCGAGAGUAGUACUAAGAUGGGUGACCUCUUGGGAAGUCCUCGUGUUGCACCCC